AUUGAACGCUGGCGGCAUGCCUUACACAUGCAAGUCGAACGGCAGCACGGGAGCUUGCUCCUGGUGGCGAGUGGCGAACGGGUGAGUAAUAUAUCGGAACGUACCCUAGAGUGGGGGAUAACGCAGCGAAAGUUGCGCUAAUACCGCAUACGAUCUACGGAUGAAAGUGGGGGAUCGCAAGACCUCAUGC
rnacentral:rRNA from 1 species